GGCUGAGACACACCGGAAGGCCUUCCCUGGCCUGUCCACCAGCCGAGGCCUGGUGGAGCCACUGACGUGGGUUACUCCCUCGGCCCGUGGGUGACAAGUCCUCCCCAUGCAGCCUCCUUGAUGUGUGGUCUCGACAGACCCAGAGUUGCCUCGCGCCCGUUCAUGUCUUGAGAGAGCUAGGUCGACUUGGAACCCCUUUCAAGAUGGUCUCUGUCGGACCGCUGUGGGUCUACAAGUUGCACAUGCCUUCCCGGCAGGCACCUGAUGGGGCUCGCGCUCCAGUGUGCCGUACUGUCCGUGCGCGAGCACCGGCAGGCACGGGCUUUUCUGACACCGUGUACAUCCACCCGACUGUUCCUCCACACCCGUGACGUUAGAGAUGGCCACGUCCUUCGCUCGGUUCCAUAAGCCACACGAGUCCGUGGGCUCAGGUUGGAAGAUUCCAAGGGAGGAGAGUCUUUCCGUGGUCUCCCUCCACGUGUCUUGUCAGGAAGCAGUGGCUCUGUCACUGUGUCACUGCCCAGCGAGCCCAGCCCCUUUCUCCAGGGCCGUGGGGAUGGACUGGGCCGCAUGCCGAGUGCUCAGUGCUGGGCAGAGCCAGGAGAGGCGGCGGCCCUGCAAGUGGUCCUGGAAGGGGAAGGGAUGUGCUUGGGUCUCUCCAUUUACAGCCCUCGCAGGAGUGGGACCGUGGUUGGGUGUUCUUGGAGGCAGAAGCUAGACGUUGCGAGAUAAAAAUAAAUUGUCAGGGGAUGUUUGCCAUUCCAAUCCCGGUCCCUGCCAGGAGGGUGGAGGACGCUGGGGGGGAGGGUCACGAAGGGCAGUUGAGCUCUGCCAGGCGUCAGCUCCUCCCCGAAGGCUUCCCGGGAUUCACACGCCAGGGUCACAGCUCUGGCUCAUUCCAGAAAGUGCCGUCUUACAUGGUCGUGACUACCCUUCACAGAGAGAGAGAAGAAACACUUUAAAAAGCUUGUAUUGUUGGGAGCUGGAGUUCUCUGAGCCGUCGUUUGAGGCCCCAGAAGGGAUCUCCAGAGGGCGAGAUCAAACGCUUGUGGGGAGCAGGCGGCUGGCUCAGGGCGGACCUGGUUCUGCCUGGCCCGGGUCGGAGGAGGUUACUGGGCCAUGCUUCAGUGACUGAUUUUGCCCAUCUGGAUUUCUGGCCUCAAGGGAUAUUCUUACGCAGGGUGGACCAGGAACCCCUCAGUUGUGGAACGGCCACACGGAGGUGGACCAGGAACCCCUCAGUUGUGGAACGGCCACACGGAGGGUCGCGAAGACUGCCACAAGCUGUAAUUUGGCAAGGAUAGGCAAUACCGUGGCUUACGGAAGUCACCUCACGUCUCGGAGAAAGUUCUGGUCUGGGCAAUGUCUGUGGACUAGUCUGAGAUGAACUAGUUAUGCACAGUUGAGUGACUAAGGGUUUGGGACCCACCAGAAGAGAGGGGGCUUAGGUCUCAGGAGCAUCGUCAGCAUGAGUCCCAGCCAGUGAGGGGCGAUGGCAGGAGCAGAGGGCGGCAGACCGAGUGUGGGUGAGCCGCACGUGGACUCAGACUGCUCCCGGGCGCGGCUCUGGAAAUACCGCGUGCAGUCGUGUAAGGUGCACCGUGCAAGUCGGGAGGCCGGGCUGAGUGUCAGUAUGCUUUCAGCGGAGGCCGUGAGGAGCCCGGAGGGGCGUGCGAGGUGCAGAGAGGCCUUGGUUGUGGACUCAUGCCUGUCUGCGGCCCUGCCACAGCGGAUAAUGGUGUGGACUGAACCCACCCUCGCGCUCCCAGAAGGGGUCUGCCCUCAUGUUGGUUUGGUGAGCUGGCGGUUGGUGCUGGCAGCACAGACCAGGCUGCCCACGCAGGGCACCGCGAGCUCUCUCUGUCACUGAUGGAGGCGGGGCCUGGCUUCGUGGCUUUGCCCUCUGUGUUGAAUUGUAGCAGUGUCCCCAAAGGCAGGGUGGGCUGGUAAGGGCUGCAGACCGAGUGAGGCGUCCACCAGCUGACCAGUCCAGUCUGCCCUCACCCCGUCCCCCUGCUCGGGAGUCAGGAAGGUCUUUGCUUUGGGAAACUCCUCUCUCUGUCUCCCCUUCCUUCAUCCCCACCCCCCAAGGUCUGGGUGUGGUAGCAGCUCUCUGUUCUGUGGCAGGGGUGCACCCUAGUGGCUGGCUGGUAUUCCUCAUCCCCCUUAUUCCUUUUGAAUGGGGGUGGGGGCAUAAAAUGUGUGUAUGGGUACAUGCAAUAAUGUUGUAAUGUUUCUUGUUGUUUAAUGGAUAAUUAAUUGUAAAAUAAUUGUUUAAAUUAUAACAUGUUUGAGUAAAUGCUAAACUAGUGUUUUGUCUAAUAUAACAAUGAAUUUGAAUCUAGCUUCCUGUAA